AUGACAAUAAUUUUUACGAUGCAUGGUCAUCUGUUUCAUGUGAUGGGGAUUGCUUGGAUCCAUGGAGAAAACUUUUUGGGUUCAUCUGAUUUUUACGGAAUAGUAAUUGUUUGGCUUCAUCUGACCAAGAGAAAGUUCACGGAUUCAGAAUUGUGCAAGCUAUCAGAUUAUGUGGAUGAGAUCCAUACUACUGGUCAGAACUGUGAACUGUCAGGAGCACUAAAGUUUGACAAGAUCUUAAUUGAAGAACACAUCUGGACUAAUAAAUGUCAAGAAAUUAACUGCAGACGCAUCAUCAAACGCAGCACGAAAUGA